rnacentral:rRNA from 1 species
UACGUAGGGCGCAAGCGUUAUCCGGAAUUAUUGGGCGUAAAGAGCUCGUAGGCGGUUUGUCGCGUCUGCCGUGAAAGUCCGGGGCUCAACUCCGGAUCUGCGGUGGGUACGGGCAGACUAGAGUGAUGUAGGGGAGACUGGAAUUCCUGGUGUAGCGGUGGAAUGCGUAGAUAUCAGGAAGAACACCGGUGGCGAAGGCGGCUCGCUGGGCCAGUUCUGACACUCAUCCGCGAAAAGCGUGGGGAGCAAACAGG